CCACACUAGUCAGUGUAAUUUUAAGCUCGCUCGUCUGGCUACAAGAAACCAAACGUAACUAACUCUGUAACUUUAAAACAUCAAAAUUAAAGUGGCUAAAAACAGGAAUCGACAUCUCACAACCAAAAUAAAAGGAAGCUAUCUGAGGUUGGCAUGACGAAAGGAAGCUAACUUCUAGCAACGCCCAAAAAUUGCCAUGAUGACAGAACCCCAGGCAGAUGGGUGUCGUCUUAAGUUACAAGCAAUUCAGAAUUUUAGAAUUCAGAGGCAAGCGCAGUAAGUUACUGCAAUUCAGCACUAGCCACUAGGCAUAUGCUACCUUCACAUCAGUGUCGCUGAGGUUGGCGUGCGGCCACUCCACGGACACUGAGAGGUAUGGUCUGUGUGACAGCGUGGACGCCCAAGGCAGCGGAGCAAUACACCGAUUCCGAACGGCGCGGCGGAGGCACCCAUCAGCGCUGGCGACGCCCUGCACCCGAGCUCCGCCGCGACCACCAAUCCUACCCUGUCGGCACCUUUGCAAAAACAAACACCGUUAGACUGAGGCGGAUAGGGUCGGGGUUGCAGCUGCAGGACUUACAGUCGCGGGGAGCCUGAGCGGAGGAGAGGAAGGGGGUUUUCCAUAUCCUCCAUCCUCCAAUGACGACGGCCGGGACUGGGUUCGGUCCUCGCCGUCGCAGUAUCACACCCACGGCUCACAACCAGGAGACGGUUUGAGUCGCCGGAUCUGAACCAG
rnacentral:lncRNA from 1 species